rnacentral:rRNA from 1 species
UACGAAGGGGGCUAGCGUUGCUCGGAAUGACUGGGCGUAAAGGGCGCGUAGGCGGAUCACGCAGUCAGAUGUGAAAUUCCUGGGCUUAACCUGGGGGCUGCAUUUGAGACGCGUGGUCUAGAGUGUGAAAGAGGGUCGUGGAAUUCCCAGUGUAGAGGUGAAAUUCGUAGAUAUUGGGAAGAACACCGGUGGCGAAGGCGGCGACCUGGUUCAUGACUGACGCUGAGGCGCGAAAGCGUGGGGAGCAAACAGG